rnacentral:lncRNA from 10 species
GCCCCCAUAGUGUGAGGAGGCCUAGGACAGUUACAGAAGCCAUGUGUAGGUGUUCUGGCUCCAGCAAAAGUCUUAUCUGACAACAUCAACUACAUGUUAGUGGGUAUAACCUCAUCCUGGAGCAGGGCACCCUAUCGUCAGAUGGUAUCAUCUUUAAGGGGUUGUCUCAGCCAUGCCUUUAGAAUUACCUUUCAUUGCUUGUCAUGCUGGAAGCUUCUGAAUGUUGCAUUUUGUGAUAGAAACAGUGGGUACCAUGGUCAUGUGCUCACAUCUCCUUUGCGGUAAAGAAAAGGAUCACUCAUUAACAUCCACCAGAUAACAUUCUCCAUGAAAGCACCAAAUAAGUAAGUAUACAAAAUACUAACCAAUUGAAAUUAUC